rnacentral:rRNA from 1 species
CCUACGGGAGGCAGCAGUGAGGAAUAUUGGUCAAUGUACGAGAGUCUGAACCAGCAAAGUAGAGUGAAGGAUGACUGCCCUAUGGGUUGUAAACUUCUUUUAUAAAGGAAUAAAACGAGGCACGUGUGCCUUUUUGCAUGUACUUUAUGAAUAAGGAUCGGCUAACUCCGUGCCAGCAGACGCGGUAAUCCGGAGGAUCCGAGCGUUAUCCGGAUUUAUUGGGUUUAAAUGGAGCGUAGAUGGGUUGUUAAGUCAGUUGUGAAAGUUUGCGGCUCAACCGUAAAAUUGCAAUUGAUACUGGUAGUCUUGAUUACAGUUGAGGUAGGCGGAAUUCGGUGUGUAGCGGUGAAAUGCUUAGAUAUCACGAAGAACCCCGAUUGCGAAGGCAGCUUACUAAACUGUGACUGACAUUGAUGCUCGAAAGUGUGGGUAUCAAACAGGAUUAGAUACCCCAGUAGUC